rnacentral:rRNA from 1 species
AUUGCACGUGAGUGACCUGCCCUUCCCUCUGGGAUAACCCUGGAGAAACUGGGUCUAUUACCUGAUAGGAGAGUCCACCUUCUGGUGGGUGAUGGAAAGAUUUAUCUCCUUUGUGAUGAACUCGNUGUCUAUAUUCUUGUUGGUGACGUAAUGGCUCACCAUUGCGACGACGGGUNUCCGGUCUGAGAGGGCGACCAGCCACAGUGGGACUGAAACUCAGCCCAUACUCCUACUGCACGCAGCAGAGGGGAAUAUUGCCCCAUGGGCCAACGCCUGAUGCAGCUACGCCCCUGGAAGGAUGACGGCCUUCGGGGUGUGACCUCUUUCACUUUGGAAGAAGCGAACUGACGAUACCUGCACAAGAAUGACCAGCUAACUACGUGCGGGAAGCCGCGUCUCUACGUAGGGCGCGAGCGUUAUCCGGAAUUAUUGGGCGCUUCGAGCUCGUACGCGGUUUGUCGCGUCUGCCGUGAAAUGUCCCGGGCUUCCCCCCGUGAUCUGCGGUGGGUACGGGCAGACUAGACUGCCCAGGGGAGACUGGAAUGCCUGGUGUAGCGGUGGAAUGCGCAGAUAUCGGGACGAACACCGAUGGCGAAGGCAGGUCUCUGGGCUGUAACUGACACUGAAGAGCGAAAGCUCGGGGAGCUAACAGGAUUACAUACCCUGGAAGUCCAUGACACAUACCUUGGGCACUAGGUGUGCUGACCAUUCCUCGGCUUCCCCCCGNACCUCACGCAUUNAUGCUCCCCUGUGGACUACAGUCNCACGCUNACACUCAAAGNUUGANGAGGCCCGCACUNCNCAGAGCUGCACAUACUUCUAUGAANGCUUACAACCU